GCGCUGCCGAUAACUGGGUCAAAAAGACGACGGAUCAAGAAAUUUCUGCACUCGGCUAACGAACUGAGUACAUAUCACCAAGGAUAAGGAUUCAGAGCCGGCGGCUGGCAGUCCAGAGAAAGAGAAUGCGGAAAAACCUAGUCCACCGGCAGUAGAACCAAAGCUGCACCUGCUGUUUUGAGUUCGGUAGCUACGGAAAUUCUGACUCUAGCAGCUCCUGAAGAAAAACAAGCUGCAAGAGAAAAUGGAGCAACAGCUUCCUCCGCGGAAGAUGCAGGGGCAUUCAACCCGGCGGAUGCAAGUUUGCUAAUGAAAGAUGUUCGCUAAGGUCUAGUAGAAUCAAAGCUGGAUCUGGAGGUGCGGCGGAAGAAUUCUUCUUCGCCGGUUGGUUGGUUAAAACUUUCGAAGCUUUGCACAUGAAGCCGGAAUUACUUCAGGGAGUCUAUGCGAUGGGUUUCAACGCCCCUUCCAAGA